UACGGGGGGGGCAAGCGUUGUUCGGAAUUACUGGGCGUAAAGGGCUCGUAGGCGGCCAACUAAGUCAGACGUGAAAUCCCUCGGCUUAACCGGGGAACUGCGUCUGAUACUGGAUGGCUUGAGUUUGGGAGAGGGAUGCGGAAUUCCAGGUGUAGCGGUGAAAUGCGUAGAUAUCAGGAGGAACACCUAUUGCGAAGGCAGCUCGCUGGGACGUCACUGACGCUGAGACGCGAAAGCGUGGGGAGCAAACAGG
rnacentral:rRNA from 1 species